rnacentral:rRNA from 1 species
GACGAACGCUGGCGGCGUGCCUAAUACAUGCAAGUAGAACGCUGAAGACAGGAGCUUUCUCUUCCUGGAUGAUAUGCGAACGGGUGAGUAACGCGUAGGUAACCUGCCUUGGAGCAGGGGAUAACUAUUGGAAACGAUAGCUAAUACCGCAUAACAAUGGAUGACUCAUGUCAUUUAUUUGAAAGGGGCAAAUGCUCCACUACAAGAUGGACCUGCGUUGUAUUAGCUAGUAGGUCGGGUAACGGCUGACCCAGUCGUCGAUACAUAGCCGGCCUGAGACGGUGAUGGGCAGCAGUGGGACUGAGACGAGGACCAGACACCUUCGGGAGGAAGCAGGAGGGAAUCUUCGGCAAUGGGGGGAAGCCGGACCGAGCAAGGCCGCGGGGGAGAAGAAGGUUUGCGGAGCGUAAAGAUCUGUUGUAAGUCAAGGACGGGAGUGAGAGUGGAAAGUUCACGCUGUGACGGUAACUUAGCAGAGAGGGACGGCUAACUACGUG